rnacentral:rRNA from 1 species
GAUGAACGCUGGCGGCGUGCUUAACACAUGCAAGUCGAACGGUGAAGCCAAGCUUGCUUGGUGGAUCAGUGGCGAACGGGUGAGUAACACGUGAGCAACCUGCCCUGGACUCUGGGAUAAGCGCUGGAAACGGCGUCUAAUACUGGAUAUGAGCCUCUUCCGCAUGGUGGGGGUUGGAAAGAUUUUUUGGUCUGGGAUGGGCUCGCGGCCUAUCAGCUUGUUGGUGAGGUAAUGGCUCACCAAGGCGUCGACGGGUAGCCGGCCUGAGAGGGUGACCGGCCACACUGGGACUGAGACACGGCCCAGACUCCUACGGGAGGCAGCAGUGGGGAAUAUUGCACAAUGGGCGAAAGCCUGAUGCAGCAACGCCGCGUGAGGGAUGACGGCCUUCGGGUUGUAAACCUCUUUUAGCGGGGAAGAAGCGAAAGUGACGGUACCUGCAGAAAAAGCGCCGGCUAACUACGUG